rnacentral:rRNA from 1 species
GACGUAGGGCGCGAGCGUUGUCCGGAUUUAUUGGGCGUAAAGAGCUCGUAGGCGGUGUGUCACGUCGGCCGUGAAAACCUGCAGCUUAACUGUGGGCGUGCGGUCGAUACGGGCAUCACUGGAGUUCGGCAGGGGAGACUGGAAUUCCUGGUGUAGCGGUGAAAUGCGCAGAUAUCGAGAGGAACACCAGUGGCGAAGGCGAGUCUCUGGACGACUCCUGACACUGAGGCACGAAAGCUAGGGGAGCAAACAGG